rnacentral:rRNA from 1 species
UACGAAGGGGACUAGCGUUGUUCGGAUUUACUGGGCGUAAAGCGUGCGCAGGCGGCGGCUCAAGUCAGGUGUGAAAUCCCCGGGCUUAACCUGGGAAUUGCGCUUGAAACUAGGUCGCUAGAGUGUGGCAGAGGGGGGUGGAAUUCCGACGUGUAGCAGUGAAAUGCGUAGAGAUGUGGAGGAACACCGAUGGCGAAGGCAGCCCCCUGGGUCAACACUGACGCUCAUGCACGAAAGCGUGGGGAGCAAACAGG